AACGCACCUUGCGCUCCUUGGUAUUCCGAGGAGCAUGCCUGUUUGAGUGUCAUUAAAUUCUCAACUCUCUUAUACUGUUUUGUACAAGAGGGCUUGGACUGUGGAGGCUUGCUGGCCACUCAUUUGAGGUCAGCUCCUCUGAAAUGCAUUAGCGGAACCGUUUGCGAUCUGCCACAAGUGUGAUAAAUUAUCUACGCUGGCGAGGGGAUUGCUCUCAGUUAUGUUCAGCUUCUAAUUGUCUCUGCUUUUUGUGAGACUACUUUUGAAUACUUGACCUCAAAUCAGGUAGGACUACCCGCUGAACUUAA
rnacentral:misc_RNA from 1 species